rnacentral:misc_RNA from 1 species
GCAGUUGUCGUCGGCUCUGGGGGCCAAUUCCCAUCGGGAAAGGGAUCCAAGGAGGAGAUCCAACUUUUCCUUGGUAAUGCUGGGACGGCGAUGCGGCCCUUGACUGCUGCUGUUACAGCUGCGGGUGGCAAUGCAAGUUAUGUGCUUGAUGGUGUGCCGCGAAUGAGGGAAAGGCCGAUAGGGGACUUGGUUUCUGGUUUAAAGCAGCUAGGUGCGGAUGUUGAUUGUUUUUUGGGGACCAAUUGCCCACCAGUUCGCGUUAAUGGAAGUGGUGGUCUUCCAGGGGGGAAGGUGAAACUGUCUGGAUCAAUCAGUAGUCAGUAUUUGACUGCAUUGCUCAUGGCAGCUCCCUUAGCUCGUGGAGAUGUGGAGAUUGAGAUAAUUGAUAAACUGAUCUCUGUCCCCUAUGUCGAGAUGACAUUGAAACUAAUGGAGCGCUUUGGUGUAACUGUGGAGCACUCCGGCAGCUGGGACAGGUUCUUGAUCAAGGGUGGCCAAAAAUACAAGUCCCCUGGAUCUGCCUAUGUUGAAGGCGAUGCAUCAAGUGCUAGCUACUUCCUAGCAGGCGCGGCAAUCACCGGUGGCACUGUCACUGUGGAAGGUUGCGGGACGAGCAGUCUGCAGGGUGACGUAAACUUUGCCCAAGUUCUUGAGAAAAUGGGAGCAAAGGUUACAUGGACAGAGAACAGUGUUACCGUCACGGGUCCGCAACAAGAUCCUUCAAAGAAGAACCGACUGCGAGCAGUUGAUGUCAACAUGAACA